GGUCCCACGGUGUCGACCAGUUUUCUUUCUGUCUGAUUAAAAUUUAGUCAACAAAAGCAACUUGAACUGAAAGAAACAUGAGGAACUGACUGAUUAUAACGAGCUCUUGGACUUAAUUAGUGAUUAAUUAGUUGAAUAGAUACUUUCAUUUGGCUUGAUUUGAUAUGUGACUUGGAUAGAGGUGUGUAUAAAAUAUAUGGUGUCCAAGUAGCGCUUACUUUUUCUUUCCCCUGUUUUAAAACUUGCAAAAUCCGUGACUUGAUAAUUUUUAUUAUAAGUUAAAGUUGAUAAUUAAGUAUCUAACUAGCUGAUGUUGAAUUCAACAAAAUAGGUUAGGUACUUCGUAGGUUUAUCUCGUAUUAAUUAUUCUUUUGAUCAACAUGUUUGUAUAUCAAUAUAGUAUUCUUAAACAGAAAUCCAAUGGGUGAUUUUUUUUUCUUUUUCUUUUUCCUACAAAUACUACAGACACAACUUUCUUUCUUUCUUUAUUUAUAAAUUAAAAAGUUCUAUAAUAUUUUAAAAAACAACUAUAUAUAUUUACUUGACAUAUUCGUAAAUUUAACAUAAUUUUUUGUAAGAAGUAUUUUAGUCAUGCAAAAUAUAUUUUACACUCUUUUUAUAAUUUUAAAAAUAAAAAUUCUUCAACACAUCUGAAUUACUUGAAUAUUUGUUAGGUUUAUAGGAUUUUAACUUGAACUUUCAUAGGAUUUUUUAUUUCGUUUUUUUUUUUUGCUUAAAACUAGAAGUGAAUUGGAACUAUUUUUCAUUCGGAUAUGUUUUGGAUUUUAUUAAAAAUUGACAUGAGUCCGACAUUAAUUAUUCGAACCUAUAAAUAUUACACAUAACUUCACUUUUUCAUUCAUAAACCACAAAAUUAUUUUAAAUAUUAAUUUAUUGGUUUUAUUUUUUGGUUUUAAUAUACAUUAACUUAAAGAUUAAUUUUUAUAAAAUAAUGUAAAAUGAUAUAUUAUUUAUAUAUACAUAUUUUAAAUUCUAUAAUACUUUCAUAAGCACUUAUAUAUCUAUAUACUUGACAUAUUCAUAUAUUUAAUAUAAUUUCUGUAAGCGGUAUUUAUACACAUCAUUUUAUGCUAUAAGAACAUAUAACUACACUAAAUACUC
rnacentral:lncRNA from 1 species